GCUUCCUAAUCUAUUUCAUGUGUGUUGUUUAUGUUUCAAGUGUAGGUAUGUUGACAGCUGGAUAUUUUAAAAGAGUUUCAUAAAAAAAGGUUAAUAAAUACUGGGCACUCUCCCUCCAUUAUUCUUCAUCUUCUUUGGCAUCUCAUAGAUCUCCCUCUCCCUUCUCGCCUUCCGCCGUCACCUGGUUUUUGCAGUUGCAGCUAGAGUUCCAGUGAGAGACGUCAUGGCUAGAUUACUACCGGCGCUUAUGCCUUCUUUGGUUGUGGUCGGAGUCGAUGGAGCUCGCAACGUUACGUUAUUCAUAUUGGAGAUUGCUCUUACUCUUGCCAAAGGAGCAGUUUGCUUGGAUGGCAUCCCUCCAUCCCAAUGAUUUGGAGACGGAAUAGACAACAACUGGCAUGUGUCUAGAGGUAUAUAAUUAUGACACUUCCUUGAUUUUUUUGUGAAACACGAUAGAUAGAUUCAAUAAAUGAAACUAUUAUAUUCAAAUGUGAAUGAACACAUAUUCACUUGGUAAUAGUUAAAUUAAACCAUUCUUUUGAUCUUCACAAUAUAAGAAUUAUAAAUAAUUCAUUUAUAUUUUAAACUUACUAUGUUUUCUUUGGUUGUGGUGGUGGGAAUCUUAAGAGCCAGCAAUGUCACCAUCUCUCUAUUGGAGUUGGCUAUUGCCAAAGGAGCGGACGAUAACACAAGCCGUAGGCGAUUAGUACUUAGGCCGAAGCAUAUGUCGGAGAUGGACAUGCUCAACGACUUGCCACGGACUUGCACUACCAACGACGACGAAGCUACUUUUGAGGAAAAAAUUGUUAUCGAUAAUAUGCAACAUAAGAAACCAUAAAUUGAUAGCCUUUGAAGUGUAAUUUCUACUUUUAGUUAAUUAAUGAAGGAUAAGUUUUUGGUUUAAUCCUUAUUCUUAGUAUAGCUACAGAUAUGUGACUAAGUUGUGUAGACCGAUACUUCUAUAAUUUGUUUUAAACUCAUUUAAUAAGCGUAUAUCAUGUAUACAAAUUUGUUAUUGUAUUAGUCAUCAAAUAAUGAGAUUAAUUAGUGAAAAAACAAUGUCUUUUUA